UUUUUUUUUUUUUUUGGUAUCGGGGAUCAAACUCACAACCUAGCGCUUGCCAGGCAGGCAAUUAGGCCACUGAGCUAAAUCCCCAGCCCCCCCAAGCGGAUUUUAAACUAUGAAGAGAACACAAAGACGCUUCCAAAGGAGUGGGAACAGACAGCUGGGCGCUGACUAAUCCUAGACUUUGUUGUAAGCAGAAGAAAUCCCAAUAUGUUCCCGUGAGCCGAGACUUCAGGCUGCCAAGAAAUGGGUGGGGCUUGUUAGACAGGUUAGAGAGGGACAGGGAGGAGGAGGCCACCGGGCCCCAGAGCAGUGAAGGACAGGUGAAGCCAGGUCUGCAAGCCACAUGAUGGCUGCGUGUGGAAGCCCGCCCCGCUCAGUGCACGCUGCCACCAGUGGGCCGAGGCAGGCUGCUCCUCCCCCGCCUGGCUGUCAUCUGUGCAGGGUCUCCUGCCAGAGCUGAAGGAGAUGCUGUCCCCCAUCUGGACAGGGCAGCACCAGAGGGAUGGAGCACAGGCGUCCCCUGGGGAGUUCAGGUCCAGCCCUGCCACAGAAAGGAACAGACAGGAGUCCUGAGCACUAAGAGGCAGCCACUUCCCCACCCGUAACGAAACGGGAGCACAGCUCUCUCUCAUCCUGGAGGCCUCCGCAGAGCAGGAGGGAAUCCACCGCCACACACUCGGGCCCUGCCUCGGAGCAUGAGGAUUUAUUCAGCAGCCUGAGCAGUGGGGCUGGCAGAUGCCACGUGCACGUGACUGACAAGGGGGGGGCCCUGUGACUGCCUCACCAGGGAGGGACCCCAGAGCGAAGAGGGCGGCUGGACGCCCGGCCUCCAUCCUCCUGGAAGCCUCCAGCGGAGCCUGCUCCUCCUUCCCGCCCAUCCUGCCCUCUGCCCAGAAGAGCUGCUGGGAGAGACAUCACCGAGCAGCUACUGACCGCCUCCCGGACGGCCACCUGACAGCAGGAGGCAGCCUUGAGGAUCACAGCAGGCUUCCUCUAUGCACGGCAGGGCACUCAGGGGGACGCCUGGCCUCUACACACGGUGCCAGCAGCACCGCCAGGUGGGGCAACCACAGAUGUCCUCAGUAAUAUGGACGCUGCUUGUGUGGGUAGUAACUGUGUGGAUGCACCGGUCAACUAAAACCUAUUAGUAAAAUUAAUCUCUCAUUCUUCA